ensembl:lncRNA
UGCAGGUAGGCUGCAAAAGAUAAGACAGUGGUAUAGAGCAACACAGGUGGGGCCUGCAGGUAGGCUGCAGAAGAUAAGUCAGUGGUAUAGAACAACACAGGCCUGCAGGUAGGCUGCAGAAGAUAAGACAGUGGUAUAGAACAACACAGGCCUGCAGAUGGGCUGUAAAAGAUAAGACAGUGGUAUAGAACAACACGGGUGGGGCCUGCAGGUAGGCUGUAAAAGAAAAGACAGUGGUAUAGAACAACACAGGCCUGCAGGUAGGCUGUAAAAGAUAAGACAGUGGUAUAGAACAACACAGGCCUGCAGGUAGGCUGUAAAAGAUAAGACAGUGGUAUAGAACAACACAGGUGGGGCCUGCAGGUAGGCUGUAAAAGAUAAGACAGUGGUAUAGAACAACACGGGUGGGGCCUGCAGGUAGGCUGCAGAGGGACUAUACAGUGGUAUAGAACAACACAGGCCUGCAGGUGGGCUGUAAAAGAUAAGACAGUGGUAUAGAACAACACAGGUGGGGCCUGCAGGUAGGCUGUAAAAGAUAAGACAGUGGUAUAGAACAACACAGGUGGGGCCUGCAGGUAGGAUGUAAAAGAUAAGACAGUGGUAUAGAAUAACACAGGUGGGG